ensembl:lncRNA
GCCAUAACGAACACUUCAUAUGGGCUCCUUGGUGGUUCAGAAGAGUACUCAAGCAACUGCUUCAAAAACCAUAAAGCUCUGAGCAAUUCUAAGUUUCACUAUGAAAUUCAUCCUCCUUGGGAUUGCUUGUGCAAUUCUAGUAUGAGGACUCAUAUCUUUCUUCAGUUAAGAAAAAUCGAAGUAUUCUUGGCUGGAUUCCACUGAGACUGAUACUUGGAACUAAAUGAGCCACAACUGGGCUGAAAGGAGGCAGUAUAAAGCAGAGAUUCCCCCAAACCACAUGCCUCUUAGCUAUUCAUCCAACUGAUCACCUUUCAACACAGCCAAGGAUGCUAGGAAGCCUGGGCCUCUGACUUGGCCCCACCUGACCCCAGCGGCUUUCCUAUUCUCAGGACAGGAGCAGAAUGGUUGACAUGCUUUGGAAACCAAGACCUGCCCUUUGUAAAGCAUGAAAUCAAAUGGGCUUACCACAUUUGAUGUAAACAUUAAUCCUGAUCUCUAUCCCACCCUGGAAAUGUGUGAACACUAUAGGAAUCCUUAAAAUAAAGGAUGGAAAAUUCACUUUCUCUCAUAU